CAGUCGCCGCGGUAAUACGAAGGGGGCUAGCGUUGUUCGGAAUUACUGGGCGUAAAGCGCACGUAGGCGGAUAUUUAAGUCAGGGGUGAAAUCCCGCAGCUCAACUGCGGAACUGCCUUUGAUACUGGGUAUCUUGAGUAUGGAAGAGGUUAGUGGAAUUGCGAGUGUAGAGGUGAAAUUCGUAGAUAUUCGCAGGAACACCAGUGGCGAAGGCGGCUAACUGGUCCAUAACUGACGCUGAGGUGCGAAAGCGUGGGGAGCAAACAGGAUUAGAUACCCCGGUAGUCCCUGUCUCUUAUAC
rnacentral:rRNA from 1 species